UGCAAGAAUGUGUAGUACCUUGGAUGGACUC
rnacentral:piRNA from 1 species